GUGACCUUGGACAAGUCAGCAUAUAUACUAAAAUUGGAACAAUAGAGAGAAGAUUAGCAGGAUCCCUGCACAAAGGUGACACGCGAAUUCAUGAAACAUUCCACAGUUUU